rnacentral:rRNA from 1 species
CGUGCCUAAUACAUGCAAGUCGAACGAGUUCUUGUUGAUGAUCGGUGCUUGCACCAGAGCAUUCAACAUGGAACGAGUGGCGGACGGGUGAGUAACACGUGGGUAACCUGCCCUUAAGUGGGGGAUAACAUUUGGAAACAGAUGCUAAUACCGCAUAGAUCCAAGAACCGCAUGGUUCUUGGCUGAAAGAUGGCGUAAGCUAUCGCUUUUGGAUGGACCCGCGGCGUAUUAGCUAGUUGGUGAGGUAAUGGCUCACCAAGGCGAUGAUACGUAGCCGAACUGAGAGGUUGAUCGGCCACAUUGGGACUGAGACACGGCCCAAACUCCUACGGGAGGCAGCAGUAGGGAAUCUUCCACAAUGGACGCAAGUCUGAUGGAGCAACGCCGCGUGAGUGAAGAAGGCUUUCGGGUCGUAAAACUCUGUUGUUGGAGAAGAAUGGUCGGCAGAGUAACUGUUGUCGGCGUGACGGUAUCCAACCAGAAAGCCACGGCUAACUACGUGCCAGCAGCCGCGGUAAUACGUAGGUGGCAAGCGUUAUCCGGAUUUAUUGGGCGUAAAGCGAGCGCAGGCGGUUUUUUAAGUCUGAUGUGAAAGCCCUCGGCUUAACCGAGGAAGCGCAUCGGAAACUGGGAAACUUGAGUGCAGAAGAGGACAGUGGAACUCCAUGUGUAGCGGUGAAAUGCGUAGAUAUAUGGAAGAACACCAGUGGCGAAGGCGGCUGUCUGGUCUGUAACUGACGCUGAGGCUCGAAAGCAUGGGUAGCGAACAGGAUUAGAUACCCUGGUAGUCCAUGCCGUAAACGAUGAAUGCUAGGUGUUGGAGGGUUUCCGCCCUUCAGUGCCGCAGCUAACGCAUUAAGCAUUCCGCCUGGGGAGUACGACCGCAAGGUUGAAACUCAAAGGAAUUGACGGGGGCCCGCACAAGCGGUGGAGCAUGUGGUUUAAUUCGAAGCAACGCGAAGAACCUUACCAGGUCUUGACAUCUUUUGAUCACCUGAGAGAUCAGGUUUCCCCUUCGGGGGCAAAAUGACAGGUGGUGCAUGGUUGUCGUCAGCUCGUGUCGUGAGAUGUUGGGUUAAGUCCCGCAACGAGCGCAACCCUUAUGACUAGUUGCCAGCAUUUAGUUGGGCACUCUAGUAAGACUGCCGGUGACAAACCGGAGGAAGGUGGGGAUGACGUCAAAUCAUCAUGCCCCUUAUGACCUGGGCUACACACGUGCUACAAUGGAUGGUACAACGAGUUGCGAGACCGCGAGGUCAAGCUAAUCUCUUAAAGCCAUUCUCAGUUCGGACUGUAGGCUGCAACUCGCCUACACGAAGUCGGAAUCGCUAGUAAUCGCGGAUCAGCACGCCGCGGUGAAUACGUUCCCGGGCCUUGUACACACCGCCCGUCACACCAUGAGAGUUUGUAACACCCGAAGCCGGUGGCGUAACCCUUUUAGGGAGCGAGCCGUCUAAGG